rnacentral:rRNA from 1 species
AGGGGUUUGUNCAUGGCUCAGGAACGAACGCUGGCGGCGUGCCUAAUACAUGCAAGUCGAGCGGAGAUUUNCAAAGCUUGCUUUUCAAAUCUUAGCGGCGGACGGGGUGAGUAACACGUGGGCAACCUGCCCUUGAGACGGGGAUAACUCCGGGAAACCGGAGCUAAUACCGGAUAACACAUAUCUUCGCAUGAGGAUAUGUUAGAAGGUGGCUUUUAGCUACCACUCAAGGAUGGGCCCGCGGCGCAUUAGCUAGUUGGUGAGGUAACGGCUCACCAAGGCGACGAUGCGUAGCCGACCUGAGAGGGUGAUCGGCCACACUGGGACUGAGACACGGCCCAGACUCCUACGGGAGGCAGCAGUAGGGAAUCUUCCGCAAUGGACGAAAGUCUGACGGAGCAACGCCGCGUGAGUGAUGAAGGUUUUCGGAUCGUAAAGCUCUGUUGUUAGGGAAGAACAAGUACCUGUUGAAUAAGCAGGUACCUUGACGGUACCUAACCAGAAAGCCACGGCUAACUACGUGCCAGCAGCCGCGGUAAUACGUAGGUGGCAAGCGUUGUCCGGAAUUAUUGGGCGUAAAGCGCGCGCAAGGCGGUU